AUAUCAAUAAGCGGAGGAAAAGAAACCAACAGGGAUUGCCCCAGUAACGGCGAGUGAAGCGGCAACAGCUCAAAUUUGAAAUCUGGCUCUCAGGGCCCGAGUGUAAUUUGUAGAGGAUGCUUUUGGCGAGGUGCCUUCCGAGUUCCCUGGAACGGGACGCCACAGAGGGUGAGAGCCCCGUAUGGUCGGACACCGAGCCUCUGUAAAGCUCCUUCGACGAGUCGAGUAGUUUGGGAAUGCUGCUCAAAAUGGGAGGUAUAUGUCUUCUAAAGCUAAAUAUUGGCCAGAGACCGAUAGCGCACAAGUAGAGUGAUCGAAAGAUGAAAAGCACUUUGAAAAGAGGGUUAAAAAGUACGUGAAAUUGUUGAAAGGGAAGCGCCUAUGACCAGACUUGCGCCCGGUGAAUCACCCAGCGUUCUCGCUGGUGCACUUUGCCGGGCACAGGCCAGCAUCAGUUCAGCGCGGGGGAGAAAGGCUUCGGGAAUGUGGCUCCCUCGGGAGUGUUAUAGCCCGCUGCGUAAUGCCCUGCGCCGGACUGAGGUACGCGCAUUGCAAGGAUGCUGGCGUAAUGGUCAUCAGCGACCCGUCUUGAAACACGGACCAAGGAGUCGUCUUCGUAUGCGAGUGUUCGGGUGUCAAACCCCUACGCGUAAUGAAAGUGAACGUAGGUGAGAGCUUCGGCGCAUCACCGACCGAUCCUGAUGUUCUCGGAUGGAUUUGAGUAAGAGCAUACGGGGCCGGACCCGAAAGAAGGUGAACUAUGCCUGUAUAGGGUGAAGCCAGAGGAAACUCUGGUGGAGGCUCGCAGCGGUUCUGACGUGCGAAUCGAUCGUCAAAUAUGGGCAUGGGGGCGAAAGACUAAUCGAACCU
rnacentral:rRNA from 1 species